rnacentral:rRNA from 1 species
UUUAAAUGUAAAAAUUUAUUACUAAAAUAGUAUUAGUUAUGUUCUUGAAAAUUAAAGAUUUUGGCGGUAUUUUAGUCUAUUUAGAGGAACCUGUUCUAUAAUUGAUAAUCCACGAUUAACUUUACUUAUUUAAUAAAUUUGUAUACCGUCGUUAUUAGAAAAUUUUAAUAGAAUAUAAAUUUUUAAUAUUUUAAAUUAAAAAAUAUAUCAGAUCAAGGUGCAGUUAAUAUUUAAGAAGAAAUGGGUUACAAUAAAUUUAUUUAUACGGAUUAAGGUAAUAAAUGCUUUGUGAAGGUGGAUUUAAUAGUAAUAAAAUUUAUUUUAAUUUUAUGAUUUUAGCUCUAAAAUAUGU